rnacentral:rRNA from 1 species
UACGAAGGGGGCUAGCGUUGCUCGGAAUCACUGGGCGUAAAGCGCACGUAGGCGGCUUUUUAAGUCAGGGGUGAAAUCCUGGAGCUCAACUCCAGAACUGCCUUUGAUACUGAGAAGCUCGAGUCCGGGAGAGGUGAGUGGAACUGCGAGUGUAGAGGUGAAAUUCGUAGAUAUUCGCAAGAACACCAGUGGCGAAGGCGGCUCACUGGCCCGGUACUGACGCUGAGGUACGAAAGCGUGGGGAGCAAACAGG